rnacentral:rRNA from 1 species
CGGGACGGGUGGAAGUAAGUGUCGUAGGGAAACUGCCGAUGGAGGGGGAUAACUACUGGAAACGGUAGCUAAUACCGCAUAACGUCGCAAGACCAAAGAGGGGGACCUUCGGGCCUCUUGCCAUCGGAUGUGCCCAGAUGGGAUUAGCUAGUAGGUGGGGUAACGGCUCACCUAGGCGACGAUCCCUAGCUGGUCUGAGAGGAUGACCAGCCACACUGGAACUGAGACACGGUCCAG